rnacentral:lncRNA from 1 species
GAAAGACCAAGCAGAAAUGUUGCUCCAAAGGAACCUUUGCAACCAGCGGGUCAGGCUGCCUGGAACAGAUCCUCAUAGCUCAGAUUUCUGCUUUCCUGGUUUUCUUGCCCAUUAUGACACAGAUCAGAAGGUGUUCCCCCCUGUGUCAGGAUCCUGCCUACCAAGAAAACCCACUGCUGGCCAUGCCCUGCCCACAGGGAGGGGAAAAGGAGGCUCCACACUGCCAGGCUAUGAUGCAGAAAUGUGAGAAGGAAAGCCAAACCUGUGUGAGGCAAAUAUAGUCUGUGGGAGUAACUCUGUAGGCCACUAAAUUUCAAAAAUGCCAUUCAAUAAAAUUUGUGAAGUAACAAAGCCUAAACUAAUA